CUUGCACCUUAUCUUAGCGGCGGACGGGUGAGUAAUGCUUAGGAAUCUGCCUAUUAGUGGGGGACAACAUUCCGAAAGGGAUGCUAAUACCGCAUACGUCCUACGGGAGAAAGCAGGGGAUCUUCGGACCUUGCGCUAAUAGAUGAGCCUAAGUCGGAUUAGCUAGUUGGUGGGGUAAAGGCCUACCAAGGCGACGAUCUGUAGCGGGUCUGAGAGGAUGAUCCGCCACACUGGGACUGAGACACGGCCCAGACUCCUACGGGAGGCAGCAGUGGGGAAUAUUGGACAAUGGGGGGAACCCUGAUCCAGCCAUGCCGCGUGUGUGAAGAAGGCCUUAUGGUUGUAAAGCACUUUAAGCGAGGAGGAGGCUACUGAGACUAAUACUCUUGGAUAGUGGACGUUACUCGCAGAAUAAGCACCGGCUAACUCUGUGCCAGCAGCCGCGGUAAUACAGAGGGUGCGAGCGUUAAUCGGAUUUACUGGGCGUAAAGCGUGCGUAGGCGGCUUUUUAAGUCGGAUGUGAAAUCCCCGAGCUUAACUUGGGAAUUGCAUUCGAUACUGGGAAGCUAGAGUAUGGGAGAGGAUGGGUAGAAUUCCAGGUGUAGCGGUGAAAUGCGUAGAGAUCUGGAGGAAUACCGAUGGCGAAGGCAGCCAUCUGGCCUAAUACUGACGCUGAGGUACGAAAG
rnacentral:rRNA from 1 species